GAAAUGCGAUAAGUAGUGUGAAUUGCAGAAUUCAGUGAAUCAUCGAAUCUUUGAACGCACAUUGCGCCCCUUGGUAUUCCAUGGGGCAUGCCUGUUCGAGCGUCAUUUGUACCCUCAAGCUCUGCUUGGUGUUGGGUGUUUGUCCCCGUUUCCGCGCGUGGACUCGCCCCAAAGUGAUUGGCAGCCGGCGUACUGGUCCCGGAGCGCAGCACAUGUCGCGCAAACGAGUGCCUUGGUACGGCGGCGUCCAUAAGCCCCUCUCUCACGCUCUUGACCUCGGAUCAGGUAGGGAUACCCGCUGAACUUAAGC
rnacentral:misc_RNA from 1 species